rnacentral:rRNA from 1 species
ACGGAAGGCAGCAGUGGGGAAUAUUGCACAAUGGGGGAAACCCUGAUGCAGCGACGCCGCGUGAAGGAAGAAGUAUCUCGGUAUGUAAACUUCUAUCAGCAGGGAAGAUAGUGACGGUACCUGACUAAGAAGCCCCGGCUAACUACGUGCCAGCAGCCGCGGUAAUACGUCGGGGGCAAGCGUUAUCCGGAUUUACUGGGUGUAAAGGGAGCGUAGACGGUGUGGCAAGUCUGAUGUGAAAGGCAUGGGCUCAACCUGUGGACUGCAUUGGAAACUGUCAUACUUGAGUGCCGGAGGGGUAAGCGGAAUUCCUAGUGUAGCGGUGAAAUGCGUAGAUAUUAGGAGGAACACCAGUGGCGAAGGCGGCUUACUGGACGGUAACUGACGUUGAGGCUCGAAAGCGUGGGGAGCAAACAGGAUUAGAUACCCUGGUA